AUGCUUUGGCAAUACACACAUUAAAAUUGGAAUGAUGCAGAGAUUAGCAUGGCCCCCAAGCAAGGAUGAUGCACAAAUUUGUGAAAUGUUCCAUAGUAAA
rnacentral:snRNA from 1 species